rnacentral:rRNA from 1 species
GACAGAGGUGCCGAGCGUUAGGCGGAAUCACUGGGCUUAAAGCGUGUGUAGGCGGGCCGUUAAGUGCCCCGUGAAAUCCCCCGGCUCAACCGGGGAACGGCGGGGCAUACUGGCGGCCUUGAGCCACUUAAGGGCAAACGGAACAAGCGGUGGAGCGGUGAAAUGCGUAGAUAUCGCUUGGAACGCCGAAGGUGAAAACAGGCUGCUGGGGUUGCGCCGACGCUGAGACACGAAAGCCAGGGGAGCAAACGGG